AUGCAUAGUCGAGCAUCUUUUUGUGACAAAAUAUUGCGCUUAAAACGGGCACGUCUUUUUAUCCAAUAAUGACAUAGUGCCCCCAUAGGUUGAAGAGGUUAACUGUCCUAACAUCUACUGUCUAUCCACAGGUUAACUGUCCUAACAUCUACUGUCUAUCCACAGGUUACUUUGACACUAACUGUUGUUUUGACACCACUAUAAAACACAAUAUCUAUAAGAGAUGGAAAUGAUCAUGAAUAUCUAUUACAGUAACAGGGGCGGAGCCAGAGGGGUGUCUGGGGUAUCUGCUCCUAAUACUGGACCAGGAGACCAGCAAACAGAUGUAUCAAGGGAUGACAUAAAGACCUCUGGCUCUGAGCAAGACAGUGAGCCAGAGCUGCCAGGAGAUGUCAUGGAGAUCCUCCCUACUGCAUCAAGCACCAGAUAUGCAGUUCCAAAAGGACCCAAUGACAUUUCAAGAUCCAGAGAAGAGGGUCCUAUACAGCCGUGUUUGAAAACAUUUCCCAGAAUGCAGCAUGGUACUAGGAAAAGUGCUUUCAACAGUUCCUGGUAUAAGGACAAUUUAUGGCUUGAAUUAUCUGUAUGUUUUGAUGUGAGAGAGGAAGCCCGUCCCGUUAUCGCCACCUCACCCGCUCUUAAGAUAACCUUCGGGCCGACUGGGAGCCCAAGGCUGGUUAGGAGACACUGCAAUUGUGAUGAACUGAGACAAUAUUAGGGUAGCACUGUAAUUCAUGAAUCAUAUGUUGCCUGCGAGGUUCUUCCCUCUUUCCCUUUCUGUCUUCUACACCACUUUCCCCACCUCGUCUUUCUUCCUCGUUUUAUAAUGCACACCACAUGUGCAUUGAAGUACAGAUUGAACUUGUAUUUAUAAUAUUACAAUUAUCAUAAUUAUAAUGCAUUUAUAACACCUGGAUAAUGAACUUCUUUAAAUAAAGUGUUUCACAUUCUCCACUGGUUGAAAUGAAGUAUCUCACUGAAAUACUAUCCUGUGUCCUCAGAUUAAUAAAGAUGAAGGGAGUUAGAUAUGCAUAGUUUUUCUUCUUCUGUAUAUAUGAAUUACAAAUCAAUCAUGUUUCUAAUCUAUUGCAUAGUUACAAUGUAUAAUCAUUGAUGUCCCAGGAGCAGGAGUGGUCAACACUGUUGAAGUGUAUAAUUGUAAUACAUACAUGCAGACACAGCAUCAUUCAAAGAAUGGAGUUUGAUAUGACUGAAAAUGAAUGUCUCAGAGAUUCAUACCUGAACCACACCUUUAUUUGUCAAGGAAGAGUACAUGAUCAGUGAAUAUAUUCAACGUACAGGCUACAAUGUGGGGAUCUAAUGCGUGCUAAUAACUACACUACAUGUGUAUGUAGUACUUGCAUCCUUGGCACAAUAAAGUUAUUAUAAUCUACUCAAUCCAUAGGCUUCAUUAAUGCCAUUCAGAUUUGAAGUUGAUACAACAAC